rfam:Ricinus communis cultivar Hale ctg_1100012356968, whole genome shotgun sequence.
AAUCCAUGGUGUGGGCAUUGGAAUAAAAGUGCUUUGAAGCGAUCCCAUGCUUCAUGAAAAGAUUCAGCAUUUUUUUGAUAAAAAUUAAAAAUUUCACCUCUUAAUUCU